rnacentral:lncRNA from 1 species
GCUUGUUUUAUGUACCACUGUGUAGUAUACACAAUGUCUAGAGCAUAGCAGAUCCUCAAAUAUCUUCCGAUGACUGGCGUUUCUCUGUACCAGGAAUUGGCCAACUUGCUUCCCUCCAUUUGCAACUUCCCAUUGCCUGACCAGGGUCCCAGGCACAGAAAUAGUUACAUGUUUUAUUCCUUAUUCUUGAAAGAAACAUGCUAUUUUAAGGUUGUGAUUUGUCCUAGUUUGAAUUCCCUGUGAAUCAGACCUUGAGGAAAGGAUUUGCAGUUCAUUUCGGAGGUGAUCCAAGGAAACGCUGGUAACGGAGUAGGGAACCGAGAUAGGGAAUAGAAGUCAGCCCACAAAUGUUGUAAGCUAAAAAUAAAAUCUAAAGCUUCCCACUGACUAAAGGACCCCCUCUUGGCCAAGGGGACCCCAGAGAAACCCUCAAAACUGAAUUCCCAGCCGUGAUAGAAUGGAAGGUCAAACAUGCUUUGUUAUACCCCCUCCGUUGGAUGGUUUAGACACAACUGACCAGCAUGAAUGUUAAAAUAGAGAUCACAGACUGAGGGAACAGACACUUUGUGGCAAUAUUCUUUGUAGCAUUGUAGUCUUCUCCAUAGUGAUAUGACACAUCUUUUGUUAAAUUUAUUCCCAAGUACUAUUUUUAAAUGCUGUUACACAUUUUUACAGCUUUAUUUUCUUACUUCCUUUUGCUGGUAUAUAGAAAUGUAGGUAUCUAGUCUUUUAAAUAUUGAUUUUAUUAGCCACUUUGCCAAACUUCUAUUAUGUAUGCCAAUUCUUUUGGAUUUUCUGUGUAUACAUUCAUAUCACUUGUGAGCUGUAAGAUGCCAAAUUAUAAACAGGACCUAAGGCCGUGCCAGGCAGGAUUAAGUUACGCACUCCUACACUUAAAGAAUAAACUAUGUUCUAACUGCCACAAGAUUUUUCUUUUUCUCGAGCAGCUAAACACACACUGGCCUUGAGUGUCUGAAGCAAUUGCAGCUUCACCAAGUGUUGACUGGCUCCAGCCCAUUUUCCACCAGCCAUAACUACAGUUUUAACUGGACAAGAGGAUUCUAGUAGCUUUCUCCUGGUAAGAGACCAACCACUGUGGACUGGCUCUGGCCCAUUUACAGAGAUGGUGCAUUGUGUGCCUUUGUGUCCCUGUUUCACCUUGUCAUGUAUAGGGCCUAACUGUAAUGCAUUUAAAUGUUAAGUCCCCACCCCAAGGUGUAACACGCAUGUUUGUUUAACAUGCAUGCAUCAGGACUGCCUUCAUGAAUAUUCAUGAUCCAUCUGUAGCCUGUUGAAUACGUAUACUUGACCAACCCAUUCAACUUAAAUUCCUGUCUUACUCUUCCUUCCCUAGAAGUGCCUGCCUCUGGUCUUUGCUGGAGGAUAUGCUUUCUAACCUGCAGAAUGACCACCUUGAAAGCUGUAACCCUUUGUAAGAAAUAAAGUCUCCUU